rnacentral:rRNA from 1 species
ACUCGACUACAUGAAGCUGGAAUCGCUAGUAAUCGCAAAUCAGAAUGUUGCGGUGAAUACGUUCCCGGGUCUUGUACACACCGCCCGUCACACCAUGGGAGUCGGAAAUGCCCGAAGUCUGUGACCCAACGAAAGAGGGAGCAGCCGAAGGCAGGUCUGAUAACUGGGGUGAAGUCGUAACAAGGUAGC